rnacentral:rRNA from 1 species
UAGAGUUUGAUCCUGGCUCAGGACGAACGCUGGCGGCGUGCUUAACACAUGCAAGUCGAACGGUGACAUCAGAGCUUGCUCUGGUUGAUCAGUGGCGAACGGGUGAGUAACACGUGAGUAACCUGCCCUUGACUCUGGGAUAACUCCGGGAAACCGGGGCUAAUACCGGAUACGAGACGCGACCGCAUGGUCGGCGUCUGGAAAGUUUUUCGGUCAAGGAUGGACUCGCGGCCUAUCAGCUUGUUGGUGAGGUAAUGGCUCACCAAGGCGUCGACGGGUAGCCGGCCUGAGAGGGCGACCGGCCACACUGGGACUGAGACACGGCCCAGACUCCUACGGGAGGCAGCAGUGGGGAAUAUUGCACAAUGGGCGAAAGCCUGAUGCAGCGACGCCGCGUGAGGGAUGAAGGCCUUCGGGUUGUAAACCUCUUUCAGUAGGGAAGAAGCGAAAGUGACGGUACCUGCAGAAGAAGCGCCGGCUA